rnacentral:lncRNA from 1 species
AGAAAAUAUGCAUACAGCUGGGUGGGUAUCUAGCACAGAUAACAGAUUCUGCUGAAGAUACAUGGGUUGUAAACGUGCUGAGAAGUAUGUAAUUGCAUUAUUUAUUGCGCCAGAAAGUAACUUAGUUAGGUUUGUCAUUUCGUCGUCUUUCUUUUCGCUGUGGUGCUGUCUGUAUGGACUUGUGACCAAUUUAGCUGUUCCUUAUUGACUUGUUUUUAAAAUUACAUAACAUAUAUAAUAUUUAUUACAUAGAAAUUAACCAUGAUGAAAUGCAAAAUAAGAUAUUUCUGUAUUUUACAAUUUAUAGCACAAACAAAACGCCAUCAUUUUGUUUAAUUAAC